AUUGAACGCUGGCGGCAUGCCUUACACAUGCAAGUCGAACGGCAGCGCGGGAGCAAUCCUGGCGGCGAGUGGCAAACGGGUGAGUAAUGCAUCGGAACGUGCCCAGUCGAGGGGGAUAACGCAGCGAAAGCUGUGCUAAUACCGCAUACGAACAAUGGAUGCAAGCGGGGGACCGUAAGCCCUCGGGCGAUUGGAGCGGCUGAUGGCAGAUUAGGUAGUUGGUGGGGUAAAGGCCCACCAAGCCAAUGAUCUGUAGCUGGUCUGAGAGGACGACCAGCCACACUGGGACUGAGACACGGCCCAGACUCCUAAGGGAGGCAGCAGUGGGGAAUUUUGGACAAUGGGCGCAAGCCUGAUCCAGCAAUGCCGCGUGCAGGAAGAAGGCCUUCGGGUUGUAAACUGCUUUUGUACGGAACGAAAAGGUUUGGGUUAAUACCCUGGGCCGAUGACGGUACCGUAAGAAUAAGCACCGGCUAACUACGUGCCAGCAGCCGCGGUAAGAC
rnacentral:rRNA from 1 species